rnacentral:rRNA from 1 species
UUGGAAUCGCUAGUAAUCGCGGAUCAGCAUGCCGCGGUGAAUACGUUCCCGGGCCUUGUACACACCGCCCGUCACACCAUGAGAGUUGGGAAUACCCGAAGCCUGUGAGCUAACUUUUAGAGGCAGCAGUCGAAGGUAGAAUCAAUGAUUGGGGUGAAGUCGUAACAAGGUAGC